rnacentral:rRNA from 1 species
UGGGGAAUAUUGCACAAUUGGCGCAAGCCUGAUGCAGCCAUGCCGCGUGUAUGAAGAAGGCCUUCGGGUUGUAAAGUACUUUCAGUCGGGAGGAAGGUGGUAAGGUUAAUAACCUUAUCAAUUGACGUUACCGACAGAAGAAGCACCGGCUAACUCCGUGCCAGCAGCCGCGGUAAUACGGAGGGUGCAAGCGUUAAUCGGAAUUACUGGGCGUAAAGCGCACGCAGGCGGUUGAUUGAGUCAGAUGUGAAAUCCCCGGGCUUAACCCGGGAAUUGCAUCUGAUACUGGUCAGCUAGAGUCUUGUAGAGGGGGGUAGAAUUCCAUGUGUAGCGAUGAAAUGCGUAGAGAUGUGGAGGAAUACCGGUGGCGAAGGCGGCCCCCUGGACAAAGACUGACGCUCAGGUGCGAAAGCGUGGGGAGCAAACAGG